UAAUCUUAUAAAAUUAAUUAAAAAGUAAUAAUGAAAUCUUUCAAGAGCGAAUAUUUCGUGCUAUUGAUGUUCGCAUUGCUAGUAUCAUCAAGCGAUGCAUUCUCAUUUCUUCCAAAAAGGGUUAGGAUGACGAUAACUAACUAUGUAGACCCGUCUAUUAAGCUUCAUUGCAAAUCGAGUGAUAAUGAUUUUGGUGUAAAAGAUUUAAAAGUGAAUACAUCUUUUGUGUUUAGCUUUAGACCUAACAUUUUUGGAAGGACUAAAUUUGCUUGUGGCUUUGGUGACAGUCUUGAUUUUCCAAUAGAUGUUUACGGUGGUCACAUGCUUGGCCAUCUCAAAUGCAGAAAUUGUUUUUGGCAAAUUAACAAAACCAGUUUUUGUAUGCCUCAAGGUGCUGACCUUACUCCUUAUUGUGUGUGAUAAAGAAAUGUUUCUAAUUCGUUCUAAAACAAGGAGAUGCUAAUUUUGGAGCGGUGUUACAAUUUCAUCACUUUUUGGGUUUAGCUUUGGACAUCACAUUUCUAGAAUGACUUUAUAUCUUUGAAGGAAUUAUAUAUUAUUAUUUUAAUUUUGAUUUCAAUUGUAUUUUAUAAUUAUUUGAUACAUUUUUAAUAUAAAUAUUAUAUGGAUAAAGAAUAAAUAUAUAUGUAUUUUAUAA